CAGGUUUACCUGUGUGACUGCGUACCUUUUGUAUAAUGGGUCAGCGACUUAUAUUCUGUAGCAAGGUUAACCGAAUAGGGGAGCCGGAGGGAAACCGAGUCUUAAUUGGGCGUUAAGUUGCAGGGUAUAGACCCGAAACCCGGUGAUCUAGCCAUGGGCAGGUUGAAGGUUGGGUAACACUAACUGGAGGACCGAACCGACUAAUGUUGAAAAAUUAGCGGAUGACCUGUGGCUGGGGGUGAAAGGCCAAUCAAACCGGGAGAUAGCUGGUUCUCCCCGAAAGCUAUUUAGGUAGCGCCUCGUGAAUUCAUCUCCGGGGGUAGAGCACUGUUUCGGCUAGGGGGCCAUCCCGGCUUACCAACCCGAUGCAAACUGCGAAUACCGGAGAAUGUUAUCACGGGAGACACACGGCGGGUGCUAACGUCCGUCGUGAAGAGGGAAACAACCCAGACCGCCAGCUAAGGUCCCAAAGUCAUGGUUAAGUGGGAAACGAUGUGGGAAGGCCCAGACAGCCAGGAUGUUGGCUUAGAAGCAGCCAUCAUUUAAAGAAAGCGUAAUAGCUCACUGGUCGAGUCGGCCUGCGCGGAAGAUGUAACGGGGCUAAACCAUGCACCGAAGCUGCGGCAGCGAACGUAUCACUUAAAGCGAUUCAGCGGGUUACGAUUGACGGAGCGAAGCGACGUCAAAGCGUAUACAAAGUCGAGUCGGUUUAAGGAUACGUUCGUUGGGUAGGGGAGCGUUCUGUAAGCCUGUGAAGGUGGCCUGUGAGGGUUGCUGGAGGUAUCAGAAGUGCGAAUGCUGACAUAAGUAACGAUAAAGCGGGUGAAAAGCCCGCUCGCCGGAAGACCAAGGGUUCCUGUCCAACGUUAAUCGGGGCAGGGUGAGUCGACCCCUAAGGCGAGGCCGAAAGGCGUAGUCGAUGGGAAACGGGUUAAUAUUCCCGUACUUGGUGUUACUGCGAAGGGGGGACGGAGAAGGCUAUGUUGGCCGGGCGACGGUUGUCCCGGUUUAAGCGUGUAGGUGUGUGUUCCAGGUAAAUCCGGUUCACUUUAACACUGAGGCGUGACGACGAGGCACUACGGUGCUGAAGCAACAAAUGCCCUGCUUCCAGGAAAAGCCUCUAAGCAUCAGGUAACAUCAAAUCGUACCCCAAACCGACACAGGUGGUCAGGUAGAGAAUACCAAGGCGCUUGAGAGAACUCGGGUGAAGGAACUAGGCAAAAUGGUGCCGUAACUUCGGGAGAAGGCACGCUGACACGUAGGUGAAGUGAUUUACUCACGGAGCUGAAGUCAGUCGAAGAUACCAGCUGGCUGCAACUGUUUAUUAAAAACACAGCACUGUGCAAACACGAAAGUGGACGUAUACGGUGUGACGCCUGCCCGGUGCCGGAAGGUUAAUUGAUGGGGUCAGCGCAAGCGAAGCUCCUGAUCGAAGCCCCGGUAAACGGCGGCCGUAACUAUAACGGUCCUAAGGUAGCGAAAUUCCUUGUCGGGUAAGUUCCGACCUGCACGAAUGGCGUAAUGAUGGCCAGGCUGUCUCCACCCGAGACUCAGUGAAAUUGAACUCGCUGUGAAGAUGCAGUGUACCCGCGGCAAGACGGAAAGACCCCGUGAACCUUUACUAUAGCUUGACACUGAACAUUGAGCCUUGAUGUGUAGGAUAGGUGGGAGGCUUUGAAGUGUGGACGCCAGUCUGCAUGGAGCCGACCUUGAAAUACCACCCUUUAAUGUUUGAUGUUCUAACGUGGACCCGUAAUCCGGGUUGCGGACAGUGUCUGGUGGGUAGUUUGACUGGGGCGGUCUCCUCCUAAAGAGUAACGGAGGAGCACGAAGGUUGGCUAAUCCUGGUCGGACAUCAGGAGGUUAGUGCAAUGGCAUAAGCCAGCUUGACUGCGAGCGUGACGGCGCGAGCAGGUGCGAAAGCAGGUCAUAGUGAUCCGGUGGUUCUGAAUGGAAGGGCCAUCGCUCAACGGAUAAAAGGUACUCCGGGGAUAACAGGCUGAUACCGCCCAAGAGUUCAUAUCGACGGCGGUGUUUGGCACCUCGAUGUCGGCUCAUCACAUCCUGGGGCUGAAGUAGGUCCCAAGGGUAUGGCUGUUCGCCAUUUAAAGUGGUACGCGAGCUGGGUUUAGAACGUCGUGAGACAGUUCGGUCCCUAUCUGCCGUGGGCGCUGGAGAACUGAGGGGGGCUGCUCCUAGUACGAGAGGACCGGAGUGGACGCAUCACUGGUGUUCGGGUUGUCAUGCCAAUGGCACUGCCCGGUAGCUAAAUGCGGAAGAGAUAAGUGCUGAAAGCAUCUAAGCACGAAACUUGCCCCGAGAUGAGUUCUCCCUGAGACUUUAGGUCUCCUGAAGGAACGUUGAAGACGACGACGUUGAUAGGCCGGGUGUGUAAGCGCAGCGAUGCGUUGAGCUAACCGGUACUAAUGAACCGUGAGGCUUAACCUUACAACGCCGAAG
rnacentral:rRNA from 1 species